rnacentral:tRNA from 1 species
GAGGAUAUAACUCAGUAGUGGUAGAGUUCAUGACUUGCAUGCACAAGGUCCUGGGUUCAAUCCCCAGUAUCUCCA